CGCCAGUCUGCAUGGAGCCGACCUUGAAAUACCACCCUUUAAUGUUUGAUGUUCUAACGUUGACCCGUAAUCCGGGUUGCGGACAGUGUCUGGUGGGUAGUUUGACUGGGGCGGUCUCCUCCUAAAGAGUAACGGAGGAGCACGAAGGUUGGCUAAUCCUGGUCGGACAUCAGGAGGUUAGUGCAAUGGCAUAAGCCAGCUUGACUGCGAGCGUGACGGCGCGAGCAGGUGCGAAAGCAGGUCAUAGUGAUCCGGUGGUUCUGAAUGGAAGGGCCAUCGCUCAACGGAUAAAAGGUACUCCGGGGAUAACAGGCUGAUACCGCCCAAGAGUUCAUAUCGACGGCGGUGUUUGGCACCUCGAUGUCGGCUCAUCACAUCCUGGGGCUGAAGUAGGUCCCAAGGGUAUGGCUGUUCGCCAUUUAAAGUGGUACGCGAGCUGGGUUUAGAACGUCGUGAGACAGUUCGGUCCCUAUCUGCCGUGGGCGCUGGAGAACUGAGGGGGGCUGCUCCUAGUACGAGAGGACCGGAGUGGACGCAUCACUGGUGUUCGGGUUGUCAUGCCAAUGGCACUGCCCGGUAGCUAAAUGCGGAAGAGAUAAGUGCUGAAAGCAUCUAAGCACGAAACUUGCCCCGAGAUGAGUUCUCCCUGACUCCUUGAGAGUCCUGAAGGAACGUUGAAGACGACGACGUUGAUAGGCCGGGUGUGUAAGCGCAGCGAUGCGUUGAGCUAACCGGUACUAAUGAACCGUGAGG
rnacentral:rRNA from 1 species